CGAGAGAGAAAGUGAUUGUUUUGUAAAGAUAGUUCACGAUAGAAUUUGGUUUUAAUAUCAUUCAUUCACAUAUCAAAUGAACCGCAUUUGGGCUUGACCCAUUUUUAUUGGGUUACGUGGCUCUUAAGUCAAUGAAAGCCUCACAUAAAAUCAUCAGUAUCUAUGCUACAGUAUAUUCUUACUUAUAUUAUCCAACGGUAAUGUUAUAAAAAGAUUGAUUAAAACUAUCUAGAUCCGACCCAUUAAACCGUAAAUCUACAAAUCCGACCCAUUAAAGAUUCUUGCCGGAGACGAAAGGUAUUCCGAUUGAGGAGAUGGGUCAAGUGUGGAGGUCACACUGGUAUUGGUCAAGGUUUGUAGAGGAUGGGAGUAUGGGAAUGCGCUUGAGAUGGGGAAGAGCAGUAAUUAAGCCGGAACGAAGCAUGUUUGAUUUAUCAUUGUUUUUUUAAUGAGAGUUUUAAGAAAAAGAAAAAAAAAGAUUUGUAAAUGUCGUAGAGGAAAAACUGUACUAGCCUAGAUA